CCCUCCGCCCGUGCCCCACGCUCGACCUGCAAAACAAACAAAAAGGUCAAACCCUAGCCGCCAACCCUUCUCGUCCCGAGCCCUGCACCCCUUCGCCUCGUCUCCUCCCCGCUCAUCCUCUCCUCUCCCACGCCGCCGCCCCCUCUCCUUGUUCGUCUCAGCCGCGUCCUCUCUUCCCCGUGUCGUCCCCCCCUUCCUCCUCCUCUAUCCUCCCUCCCUCGUCACCACGGCCAACCAUCUCCCGCCGCUUAGGCCUCAUGGCGGCGGCCGGAUCGUGGUGGAGGCAAAAUGCCAUGGAGGGUCUGACGCCUAUGGGCGCAGCAGGGGUCAGUGGAGUGACGGAUACGGGAGGCGUAGGCGGCUGAGGGAGGCUCAACGGCGAGAGCAACACCAGCAAAAGUCUCUCUUUCCCCCUGCCCCCACUCUCGUCCCCCAUGUUGUCUCACGGAUGCGGGUGGGGACUGUUGGGGCACCGCGGGGAAUGGAAGGCAGAGGUCGUGUGCGGGCCCGAGGCUCCACGAGGAGGUUGUCGGGGCUGGUUUCCUUCCAUACUAGCUGUCGAGCUCCACGCAUUGGUAGAAGCCGAAGCUGUUUUACUUGAAUCUGAUGACGUCCCUGCUGCUAUAAGUUAGGAAAUUGACAAAUUCAACAUUGACAAGCUGGUCUUGCGCUCUUCGUCCAAAAGCAUAUUCCAGUGAGAUUCUUAUUGUGGAUGUUUCAGCCUCAACCUGAAUUUUGUUUAACCUACUACGGAAAGACCUUUUAGGGUGAUUAGCUGCAGUACUAUGACAAAUAAUCUAAAAGGAUCAUUGUCUUCUCAUUUAAUAUUCUAGGUGCCGGACAAACACUGAAGGUUGCACUGCAACUACUUGACUACAAGUUUUAUGUGGAAUUUUUCUGUGCAGCUUGCACAAACUCAGUGAGAUGAGGAAUCAUCAUCUCUCACAUUUUUUCUCUUGAAAGGGAGGUGUAAUCCCCUACAUUUUUUUCGCAGAAUCACGCAUGUUUCUAAUCCUUGCCAGAAAGUUUCCAUCGCUCGGUUCCUAAAGGCAUGAUGCCUCAUUUAGAUUAUCUAUGUCAGUUUGUUUGUAUUCAGAAAAGUAAGACAUGAUGCCUCAUUUAGCUUAUCUUAUCUCGGUGUGUUUGUGCUCAGAAAAUUAAUUUGUUUAUUUUUGCUUUUUGAGGGCUAUAACAAUAGAGAAUUUCAUUGUUGAAAAUCUUAUAAAGAGAUCGAGGAUAAAAAAAUGCAAGUAAACUCCACUUUUCUUCCGUAUUUUUUAUGCACACCUUCUUAAUCUGUAUUCAGAGAAAGAUGUUGCUCUGUUGAGAAAAUGUUAUUAGAUGAAAAAUAUUCAGCAUUCAAAGUUUUUUCUCCAAAUUUCUUUGUGUGUGCAACUAUGAUCUGUUUUCCUUGCAGCCAAGCCAAUGGAUAUGUGCAGGGGGCUGCGAUGGGGCAGACGGCGGCAGGUGGCAGCAAUAGGGUUUGGCAGAUGCUCCGAGACCAUGAAGACCCUAUUCAAUGGUAUGCCCUUUCUGUUUGGUUUUUGGGGGUUCCAUCUCCAGAUUGGUGCGAUGUGUGAUGCAGAUGUGAAGCAUGACAUGGUGAAGGAGGAUCCCGACAUGUUAGCCCCCACAAUCGCGCAGUUGGAGGGCAUGCGCGAUCUUGGUAAAACCUAUUUUUAUCGAGAAAGACAAACCUUUUCAAAACACUCAUUGUAUAGAUUUUGAAAGACAAUUCUAUCUUUAUUUUUCAUACCAAGGCGUGUUUUUGUUUUACAUUAGACUCUAUACUAUUAAAUUAAGGCGUGUAUAUUGAUAUCAUUAUACAAAACAUUACACCAUGUUUCCUAUUAAAGGGAUUAAACCA